UAACACAUGCAAAGUCGAGGGGGCAGCGGGGGAAAAGCUUGCUUUUUCCGCCGGCCGACCCGGCGCACGGGGUGCGCACCGCGUAUGGAACCCUGCCUUGUACAGGGGAAUAGCCCAGGGAAACUUGGAUUAAUGCCCCCGUAGUACCGUAUUUCGGCAUCGUUAUACGGUUAAAGCCUUCGGGCGGUACAAGAUGGCCAUGCGUCCCAUUAGCUGGAUGGUAAGGUAACCCGCUUACCAUGGCUACGAUGGGUAGGGGCCCUGAGAGGGGGAUCCCCCACACUGGUACUGAGACACGGACCAGACUCCUACGGGAGGCAGCAGUGAGGAAUAUUGGACAAUGGAGGAGACUCUGAUCCAGCCAUGCCGCGUGCAGGAAGAAUGCCCUAUGGGUAGUAAACUGCUUUUAUACGGGAAGAAAAAGAGCUACGUGUAGCUACUGACGUACCGUAAGAAUAAUGACCGGCUACCUCGUGCCGGCAGCGCGUAAUUCGGAGGUCCGAGCUUAUCCGGAAUUAUGGGUUUAAGGGUCCGUAGCGGCCGAUAGUCAGGGGUGAAAUCUGCCGCUCAACGUAGACUGCCUUGAUACUGUCGGUCUUGAGUAUAGUGAAGUUCCCGGAAUAUGUAGUGUAGCGGUGAAAUGCAUAGAUAUACAUAGAACACCGAUUGCGAAGGCAGGUGACUAACUAUAUACUGACGCUGAUGGACGAAAGCGUGGGGAGCGAACAGGAUUAGAUACCCUGGUAGUCCACGCCGUAAACGAUGGAUACUAGCUGUCCGGGACCUUGAGUUCUGGGCGGCCAAGCGAAAGUGAUAAGUAUCCCACCUGGGGAGUACGUUCGCAAGAAUGAAACUCAAUGGAAUUGACGGGGGCCCGCACAAGCGGUGGAGCAUGUGGUUUAAUUCGAUGAUACGCGAGGAACCUUACCCAGGCUUAAAUGCAUAUUGACAGGGUCAGAGAUGACUUUUCCUUCGGGCAAUUUGCAAGGUGCUGCAUGGUGUCGUCAGCUCGUGCCGUGAGGUGUCAGGUUAAGUCCUAUAACGAGCGCAACCCCUACCGUUAGUUGCCAGCAUGUCAUGAUGGGGACUCUAACGGGACUGCCGGUGCAAACCGUGAGGAAGGUGGGGAUGACGUCAAAUCAUCACGGCCCUUACGUCCUGGGCCACACACGUGCUACAAUGGCAGGUACAGAGAGCAGCCACGUCGCAAGGCGGAGCGAAUCUAUAAAACCUGUCACAGUUCGGAUCGGGGUCUGCAACUCGACCCCGUGAAGCUGGAAUCGCUAGUAAUCGGAUAUCAGCCAUGAUCCGGUGAAUACGUUCCCGGGCCUUGUACACACCGCCCGUCAAGCCAUGGAAGCCGGGAGUGCCUGAAGUCCGUCACCGUAAGGAGCGGCCUAGGGCAAGAUCGGUAACUAGGCU
rnacentral:rRNA from 1 species